rnacentral:snRNA from 1 species
AUUACUUCUCGGCCCUUUGGCUAAGAUCAAGCAUAGUGUCUGUUCUUACCAGUCAGUGUCUGACUCAUCUCUGGCCCUGCUUCUAUUUACUUUUUUCUUCCUUAACUAUAU